GUGAGGGUGUGUGAGUGGUGCUGUGGAUGUUUGUGUUUGCUGGCUCAAUGCUUUUGCAUUGAACGGUUUGCAUACAAUCCAAAUCAUUCUUCAUUGAUGCCUUUUGUGCCUUCGGUGUUUGUUCAUUGUUCCUGUUUUGCUUACCUAUAAUACGGUACAUAAGUUGGCUUGUUAGGCUUUUACCAUCCCAUACCCCGUAAGGGUGUUGUGGUGGCUUUUGAAUGUGUACAUAUGCCUUGUAUUAGAUGUCAUGUGUGAUGUCUCUUGCUGUGCGCAUGUAUUCUCUGAUUUCUUGGAUGCGGUGCUUGUGAUGACCCUUGGUUCUUUCAAUGAUGUCCCUUAUUAUCGGUUGCCUUAAAUUAUGCCUGCUCUAUUGCCUGUUUUGCUCCCCUUUUGUGGUGCGCAAAACUUGCACUAUGUGCAGAGUCAUUAAUGGAUG
rnacentral:misc_RNA from 1 species